GAAGCUGGAAUUGCUAGUAAUGGCAGGUCAGCAUACUGCCGUGAAUACGUUCCCGGGCCUUGUACACACCGCCCGUCACACCAUGAGAGUUGGGAAUACCCGAAGCCUGUGAGCUAACAUUUAUGAGGCAGCAGUCGAAGGUAGAAUCAAUGAUUGGGGUGAAGUCGUAACAAGGUACC
rnacentral:rRNA from 1 species